UAGGGAAUAUUGGGCAAUGGGCGGUAGCCUGACCCAGCCAUGCCGCGUGCAGGAAGACGGCGUUCUGCGUUGUAAACUGCUUUUAUACGGGAAGAAAAGGCCCAUGCGUGGGACAUUGCCGGUACCGUAUGAAUAAGCACCGGCUAACUCCGUGCCAGCAGCCGCGGUAAUACGGAGGGUGCAAGCGUUGUCCGGAUUUAUUGGGUUUAAAGGGUGCGUAGGCGGCUUGUUAAGUCAGCGGUGAAAGUCUGUGGCUCAACCAUGGAAUUGCCGUUGAUACUGGCGGGCUUGAGUGUCGAUGGGGUACAUGGAAUUUAUGGUGUAGCGGUGAAAUGCAUAGAUACCAUAAGGAACACCGAUAGCGAAGGCAUUGUACUUAUCGACAACUGACGCUGAGGCACGAAAGCGCGGGUAGCGAACAGG
rnacentral:rRNA from 2 species